GCCCGUUUAGCUCAGUGGUAGAGCGCGUCACUCGUAAUUUGGGAUUUCCCGAUUGCUUGUUAUGAUGAGGUCGGUUGUUCGAUCCAGCCAACGGGCA